rnacentral:rRNA from 1 species
GACGAACGCUGGCGGCAGGCCUAACACAUGCAAGUCGAGCGGACCUUUCGGGGUCAGCGGCGGACGGGUGAGUAACGCGUGGGAAUAUGCCCUUCUCUACGGAAUAGUCCUGGGAAACUGGGGGUAAUACCGUAUACGCCCUUUGGGGGAAAGAUUUAUCGGGGAAGGAUUAGCCCGCGUUGGAUUAGGUAGUUGGUGGGGUAAUGGCCUACCAAGCCGACGAUCCAUAGCUGGUUUGAGAGGAUGAUCAGCCACACUGGGACUGAGACACGGCCCAGACUCCUACGGGAGGCAGCAGUGGGGAAUCUUAGACAAUGGGGGCAACCCUGAUCUAGCCAUGCCGCGUGAGUGAUGAAGGCCUUAGGGUUGUAAAGCUCUUUCAGCUGGGAAGAUAAUGACGGUACCAGCAGAAGAAGCCCCGGCUAACUCCGCG